rnacentral:ncRNA from 1 species
AUUAAAAUAAUUAGAGGCACCCCUGUGAGGGAGUGGGAUGGAGGCAGCCUUUUGGGCUGCCUAUGAAAUAUCACUACUCUUACUGUUUGUCUGUUUGUUUAUUUUACUGGCUCAGUAUGGCGAGAGUAGGAAGCGAGCUCUAAUGGGCUAUUACUACUGGCUCUAAGCACCCAGUCACACCAUCCAGGCACAACCCUCUCCAGAGCCAGGGCCAGAGCCAAAUGGGGAGUUAAGCGGGAGUGGUAUACCUGUGAAACAAUAAUGCAGGUGUGUCUAAUAGCAAGCUCAGGGAGGGCAUAAACCUCCUAUGGAGCAGAAGGGCAAAAGCACACUUGAUCUUUAUUUUCAUUAUAAAUACAGACCGUGAAUGCACAGCCUCACACAAACAAAAAUAACAACAACAACAGCUUCAUGGGAGAA